rnacentral:tRNA from 1 species
UAAAAAGAUAAGCUAAAUAAAGCUUUUAGGUUCAUACCCUGACUAUGAAAGUUAAUCUUUCUCUUUUU